rnacentral:rRNA from 1 species
UGCCAGACUCCUACGGGAGGCAGCAGUGGGGAAUAUUGCACAAUGGGGGAAACCCUGAUGCAGCAACGCCGCGUGAGUGAAGAAGUAUUUCGAUAUGUAAAGCUCUAUCAGCAGGGAAGAAGAUGACGGUACCUGACUAAGAAGCCCCGGCUAACUACGUGCCAGCAGCCGCGGUAAUACGUAGGGGGCAAGCGUUAUCCGGAUUUACUGGGUGUAAAGGGAGCGUAGACGGUGAGACAAGUCUGAAGUGAAAGCCCGGGGCUCAACCCCGGGACUGCUUUGGAAACUGCCUGACUGGAGUGCUGGAGAGGCAAGCGGAAUUCCUAGUGUAGCGGUGAAAUGCGUAGAUAUUAGGAAGAACACCAGUGGCGAAGGCGGCUUGCUGGACAGUAACUGACGUUGAGGCUCGAAAGCGUGGGGAGCAAACAGGAUUAGAUACCCUCGUAC